CCUUUUCUGUGAUCCCUCUUAUCCUCCCAAAUACAACAAACAAAUAAGACAAAAGGAAAAGAGAACAAAAACAGCAACAAUGACAACUAAAAAUUGUGUGUUUCAUUUCCUUAGAGUUCUUCUCAGAGGAAGAAGUAAGAUUGGCCAAUAGACACAUGAAGAAGUAUUCAACAUCUCUGGCCAUAAAAGAAAUGCAAAUCAAGACAACAUUGAGAUUCCACCUCACCCCAGUUAGAAUGGGCAUUAUCAAGAGAGCCUGUAACAAAUGCUGAUGGGGACAUGGCCAAACGGGAACUCUAUUACACUGUUGGAAAUGCUUAUCUUGGAAAUAAACCUUUUCAACAAAUGCUUUGAGAAACUGGACGUCACCAAAAGACAGAAACUGGGUCCAUGACCCGCAGUUAGCACUAAUAUCAACUUAAAACAGUCAAAGACUUUAAUACAAGACCUGCAAACUUGAAAGUACUACAGGAAAUAUAGAGGAAACAAUGGAAUACAUUAAUCUCUUAUAUAAUUUGUAAUGUAUAUAGGAGCAAAUCAGAUCUAGAAAGUGGUUAUAUGUGUUCUGUUUCCCCUUCAGUUUAAUAUAAAUUUAUUUUAUUAGUCUUUUCAAGGAAUUAACUUCUAAUUUUCCUGUUAUUUUUGUUGUGUAUUUUUAAUUGAUUUUUUGCUGUUGUAUAUAUUAUCUGCUUUCUCAUACAUGUGUUUAAUUUCACUUCAUUUACAUGAUGCUUCAUUUUAUUUACAUAAUAUUUAUAUAAUUCAUUUUCAAUCUUGGUUUUCAGAUAGAUAGAUAGAUAGAUAGAUAGAUAGAUAGAUAGAUAGAUAGAUAGAUAGAUAGAUGGGUUGAUAGAUAUGGACAUGGUUGUAAAUUCCCUUUUAUGCACAACUUUAUUUUCAUUCUAAAAGUCUGACUAUAUUUUAUUUUUGUGAUUAUUUAUUUCAAAAUAUUUUGAAUUUUGUAUUUGAACUUAGAAAUGUCAAUAAAACAAAAAAAUGUCUUGUCUGAUUUCUAAACA